rnacentral:rRNA from 1 species
UACGGGGGGGGCAAGCGUUGUUCGGAAUUACUGGGCGUAAAGGGCUUGUAGGUGGCCAACUAAGUCAGACGUGAAAUCCCUCAGCUUAACUGGGGAACUGCGUCUGAUACUGGAUGGCUUGAGUUUGGGAGAGGGAUGCGGAAUUCCAGGUGUAGCGGUGAAAUGCGUAGAUAUCUGGAGGAACACCGGUGGCGAAGGCGGCAUCCUGGACCAACACUGACACUGAGGAGCGAAAGCUAGGGGAGCAAACGGG